AUAUUCCUCGUUGUCAUCUUCCGUCCUCACUUUCCAUUAAGACACGAGGUUAUUAAGAGUUGUACUGUGUAAGCGGAGUGUUUGUAAAUCACAAAAAUUAUUGCUACAAUCAUUAGACUACUUCUAUUUUAAUUAAAUUAUUUCUAUAGCUUUCAAUAGCUGCAAAUCAUCAUAAAAUUCAUUGCAAUAUUAACUAUUAUUACAAUAAUACUAGUUGAAUUAUUCUACAAUAUAUUACAAUACAUUUUAAAUAAAUUACACCAAUAUAAUACGAUCAAGAGUAUACUGGUUCCGAAAUCAUACCCAAUAAUUGGAAAUGCUCAUUUGUUUCUUGGCGAUAAUGAAGAUGUAAUAGCCCAACAUUUUAUAAAUAUUGGUUGAAAUUAUGAAUCAUUGUGGCGUAUAUGGCUAGGAACGAAAUUACUUGUAAUCGUACAUAAUCCAGAAUAUAUCAAGAAGGUAUUAAAUAAUCCAAAUAUUAUUGAGAAGAGCGAGGAGUAUAAAUAUAUGAAAUCGAUUAUCGGCAGUGGAUUGUUUUCUACUUUAGCAAAAUUGUGGAAUCAUCAUAGAAAAAUAUUAAAUGAAGUCUUUCUUAAAAAAUAUCUAAUGUCCCAUAUGGAUGUAUUCGUUAAUCAUUUUGUUGCUUUAAUGGAAAAAUUGGAAACUUUAGUUGGAGAAGGAAUAGACGUUUGCCAUUACGCCUUUCGUUGUACAUUGGACAUAAUAUAUGUUUGAUGGAUAUAGCUGCGCGAAGAAUAUUCAAAACAUGAUUACAUCCGAAUGUAAUUUUUUGUAAUACUGCUAUGGGGAGGAAAUUUCAAACAUGUUCAUCCUACCUGAAUAACGUUACAAGAAAUGUAUAUUUAAAAGAUAUAUUUCGUUAAUUCAUCUUAUUUCUUUUUAACAAUUUAAAAUUUAAGUAUUAUAUUGUCUUUAUUAAUAUAUAUCAUUUUUUGUUUGCAAAGACAAUCAAAGAAAAAAAGUAAUCUAUGUUAAGAAGCGUAAUUAAACAAGAUUUGGUUAGGUCUUACUUUGAUAUAUUCCGGAUUAUGUACGAUUACAAGUAAUUUCGUUCCUAGUCAUAUACGCCACAAUGAUUCAUAAUUUCAACCAAUAUAUAUAAAAUGUUGCGCUAUUAUAUAUAUAUAUAUAAAAAAAUUAUAAAUGAAAACUGGGUAAACCGUCGUUAUCGCCAAGAAACAAAUGAGCAUUUCCAAUUAUUGGGUAUGCUUUCGGAACCGGUAUACUCUUGAUCGUAUUAUAUUGGUGUAAUUUAUUCAAAAUGUAUUGUAAUAUAUUAUAGAAUAAUUCAACUAGUAUUAUUGUAAUAAUAGUUAAUAUUGCAGUGAAUUUUAUGAUGAUUUGCAGCUAUUGAAAGCUAUAGAAAUAAUUUAAUUAAAAUAAAAGUAGUCUAAUGAUUGUAGCAAUAAUUUUUGUGAUUUACAAACACUCCGCUUACAUAGUACAACUCUUAUUAUCCUUGUGUCUUAAUAGAAAGUGAGGACGGAAGAUGACAACGAGGAAUAUUUAUAUAAUACGCAGUACGGACUACGUUCACAUAAUCAGAGUUUAUAUAAGAAAAUUCUUAUUCGAUUAGGUAAGAAGGAAAUAGGAGGGGAUCCAAAAAUGAAUUAUUUCUUUCUUGUCACCUCCUCUUACUUUCACAAAAAAUGCUAUAACUGAACAUCGUUUUAUAAACUGAUUGUUAAUUAAUUCUUCAUUAGAAUGGAGAAUAUGUUAUAAAUUAUACGAAUAUGUUAUGAAAUUCAUCUUUUCUGUUAGCUUGAUAUUUGAAUAUAUAUUUCUACUUUAAUUUCUAAUUUUGGCGUAAUAAACAGUAAUUAUAACGUUCAUUAUGAAAAAAGCAAUUAUUCCCUAUUUUCAUUCAUAAAUAUUUUUUUUUUAUACAUAGUUAUAACACUGAUUUUGGAAAUAAUAACAAUACAUAUGAAAAACUAUAUAUAAUACUUAUAUGUAGAAUUAGGAAAAUAUCGGUAGGAGAAAUGCAACGUACUUUUAAAAAAUUAUUUUUUAAUUACACAUUUAAUGCUGUACAGUUUAACGGUGAACAACUCUCAAUUUAUGUAUAUCACAAUGGACCACACAAACUUUCAUCUGUUCAUUCGCUUGACAUUCGAUGGUCGAUAUUGCCGAAGUAAUAUCAACAUCGAAGUAACAUCAAUAUAACAACUUUGUCGCACUCAUGUCUAGUGUUUUAUAUAUUAUAUAAUCGUGCUUUUCUCUUUUUCACUCGUCCAUUAUAGCUUUCUGUUAUACACAUGUACAUUUUUUCAAAGUACGGACCAACGAACUUCGUCUAAUCCAAGACCGCUUGGAAGUCACACGUGAACUAAUACUCAUUCUGAUCGCUAUCAUAGUUUAUAUUUAUUUCUUAUAUUUAUAUUUAUAUAUUAUACAAAUUAUAUGCCAUAAAUUGUAGAAGCCGCAUGUACCAUGGAUUUUAUAUUCUGAAGUCAAUAAAUCGCAAUGCUAGAAAUGAAGAUAAUAAUUUCCACUUUGUUAAUAAGUUAUAUCAUUAAAAUAAAUCAGUUAGUAAUAGUUGAAAAAAUUCUGAUAAAAAUGAAUGUUAUGUUAAAGCCGGCUAGAUCUGUAAGACUAAAAUUUGGAAGAGGAAUAAAUUGUAUAAUAUAUAUAAAUGUAAUAAAUAUAUAAUUAACAUAUUAUGUUUUUAUACGUAAUAAAUUCCGUACGUGAUGGCAGAUCUAUAGCAGAUAUAAAUUAUUAAUCGUACAAACUAGGAACUGUAAAAAAAACUGUCUCAUGCUAUUUUAUAUAAAAAAAUUCAUGUAAUUUUAUAUAACAAGUAAUCGAAGGAUAAAGACCUUGAUGAUCAUUCUUACUGUUAAUUUCUAAAUUCUUAUAAAUCAGCUUUUUUAAAAAUUAGUAAAACUUCAGUAAUGCAUUUUUAUAGAUUUUCUUGUAUAUGUUCGAUAUUUGAUACCAAUUAACACUUUUUCUACGUAUAACAUGUCGUUGGGCAAUGUAUUAAUUUUCUUUGGAAAUAUUGGAAUGAGUGAAGAGUAACAAUGUAAAUGAUCAUUCCUGGAAACAGCAAUACGAGCAUUCAGUUCGUACUGUUCAUUAUCCUUAGUUUUACAAUGGUUUACGCCAACAAUGAGAACAGACGUAUUUCUUGAACAAUUUUGAUAAACAAGGUUUCAUUUUAAAGGAGAAAAUUUAAGAUAGAACUAACUUUUCCGAAUUUUUGAUAAAGCUUGAAAUUUUCUUUGAAAAAAUGAUCUUUUUUCGAGAAUAGUUUACGCAGAAAUAUGAAGCUUUUUCAAAAAUUUCAAACAGUGGAAUCCUAGAUUAAACCUUCAUUUCCAAAAUGGGGCUUUGAUUAAGAAAUAUGCUUGUUCUCAUUGUUCAAUUGCUGUUUUUGACAUUUUUUCCAAAGAAAAAAUUUUGUACACUGUCAUCCCUGUGAAAUCUGCAGCAAAAGAAAAGAAGUUCGUGUCUGCACUACUGAUUUUCAUAUCUACACUGGAAUUAUUUGUUUCGGUUUAGUAAACGAUUGAUCGCUUGUUUUUUUGCGUAAACUGAUAAUACUAAGAUUUUCUGAACGCUAAGAAAUGCGUUUUACGAUGCUCUCACGGAAAAACAACGGACACUUUCAUGAACUUCGAACAAGUGAUUUCACAGCGGAAAUAAGAAAAUUCGUGUCCGAUUGUUCAUGUCAAUGGAUUUGAAUUUUUAAGAUAUUGUUAAAUUUUAGAAAAUCUUGUAGUUCCUUUUAUAUUUAAUAAACUAAAAACAUAGAGUUUUUAUAAGCAAUAUGUGGUACGUUGACAAACAUCUAGAUUAGUCAUUCUGGAAUUGUAGAUUCUCUGAGAAUUAAUGAUUCCGUUCUUUCUUUUUCUAUUUUUGCUGUAUCGAUGUAAAAGAAAAUAAUCGACUAAUUUAUUCUUGGAUUUUAUUUUAUUUGAUACUUUAAUAGGACGUUACUAUCCAAUAUUUUAUAUUUAUUUCCCUCCACUGAUAGUUGAUGCGAGUAACAGUGAUCUAUGAGAAGAGUGAUCUAUGUUGAAUAGGACGCAAUAGCAUUAGUAUUUUGUUUGAUGAUCAAUGCAUAUAAAAUAUAUACAUUUGUUCAUUGAUUUUCCAAUAAUAAUAAUAAUUAGUGAUAGAUAAAAGAUCAAAAUACGAGUUCGUUUCCACAUUAUCUACAGGGUUUACCUCUCAGCGCUAUUUUUUAUGGAUUUCUCUGUCUUUGUAUCAUUACUAUUACUACCACUAUUAUUAUAAUAAUAAUACAUAAUAUAAAAAUAUAAUAAUAAGAAAAAGAACAAAUAAAAGAAUAUAUUUAUAUUUAUUAUGUGUGUUCUCCGUCCGAAAUUGUUUAUUCCCGUAAAGUUUGUUAUCUUCCGAUUCGUAAUUCGGUGUAUAUUUCAUUAGCGAUUAACACACUUAGAAAGUUCAAUCAAGUAUUUUCAAAUAGCAACGUGUUAUCAGUGCUUUUACUAUUAUAAUAAAAAAUAAUGUACGUAAUAUUUUUAUUAUUAUUAUAUAAUCAGUAGUAGUAGUAGUAGUAAUAGUAGCAGUAGAAGUACAGUUGAAAUAGUAUAUAGUGGAAUAACCGUGAAAGGGAAACCACGUGAAAAGAUAACGCUCAUAAGUAGUGCGAAAAUGAAUUCAUGUUUUAAUGUAUAUUAAAAUAAUAUAAUAUAUAAGUCUUCACCAAUUAUUUUUGACAAAAUAUUCCACAACAUCUAAUUUUUUAUCAUAUAUUUAUAUACUAGUUAUUAUAUGUAUCAAUUAUAUUUAUUAUUCUUUAUGCAAUUUUGAAACAAAUGUGUAUCAACAUCGUAUCUAAUUCGGAUCACUGCGUGACCUCUACGACCAUGUAAAAAAGAUCUACAUAUGAGAGACUGAAAAAUAUGGGGACACAUUUUUAACUAACAUUACCUACUCUACUUAAACGAAACCCAUUGAUAUACCAUGACCAAAGUAGGCUUAUAUAAUUAUUGGAUAAUGGUGCAUGGUGGGGACAGGCACUUUCACUUGUAGUUGAUAUUUUGUCCGUACUUGUCGCCGCAAUCAUGCACGCUCUUGAGAAAGGUGAGAUAGGUUUUUAAGAAGGACAUUUAAUAAGACGUUUUUACUUGGUAUGAAGGAGUGUCUUACAAGGAAGUGUACUAUAUUUAUCAUUGAAAGAGAAUCAAAAUAAAGUCUGGAAGACCAUAUUGUUAAAAUGUGGGAAGGACAGAAGAUUUUUAGAAAGAAUAAUAAUGGAUCUGAGUCACAGUCGUCAAUCAGAGAAUUGACAAACUGUUUUAAAAGAAGUAUCCUGUUAAUUGAUAAUAUUCCAGCAUUGAAUUGGCCAACCAUUGAUGCUCAGCAAUCUGUUACUUCAUUUAAGAAUAAAAGAUGAUGACGUCGAUCCAGAAAUGUAUCAUUAUGCACUGAAUUAUUAUUAUGCUAAGGAAAUGAACGCAACAAAGGAAUAUUCCAUUGUGCAAUAGAUUGGACUGGCUUUCAAUUGGUAUGUACCAAGAAUCUGUAUUUUCAUCUCGAUUUUGUUCUCGCUGGUAAUUAUUAGAUCCUCAACAAGAAUGUUGCCACGAUAAGAUCAUGCCUCAACAAACUGUUCAAUCCUCCAUGACUGCUGGAUUUUCAUUGAAUAAGAACGAUUAUUAUUCGUAUGAAAAUAGAAAAGAAAAAUAUCUUCAUAAAGGUUCAGGGAUAUCAUUUGAUAAUAUGUAUUCGUCAGUUAGUCGAUGGUUUCUCGUCGAAAGAUUCAUUAUAUUCUCUACCGAAAGAUUCAUUAUUUUAUUACGCAAAGAUUGAGAAAAGCAAGAGAACUAUCCAAGAGAUCAUCGGAAUCAUCUGAAAGGAUAUUGAAGAACAUAGAGAUGAAGACAGAGUAAAUUUAUGUAUCGAAUUUGCUAGCCUUAUAACAAUCGUAGAAGAGGAAAAAAGCAAUUUAUUACAAAUAAAAAGAGCUUAAAGAGAAUGUCACUGAAGAUUGUGUAGAAAUCAAUGAAGAAUGAUCGUUGAUGAAAGAAGGAUAAGAUGUUCUGACCACGUGCUUGUAUCAAUCUUGCUAUGGCAAUCUAUCCUCACACGUACGUUUAUCUAUUUAAUGGAUCAAUUUAACGGUAGACGCUUCGUUAAUGUUUUUGUAUUUUCAGUUUCCAAGUUUUUUUUAUGGAAAAGAACAAAAAGUCCACAUGGUAAAGCAUCAUCGAAGGUUCGAGAGAUUGAUAUCUAUAAUAACGAUGGUAGGAAGCGUAAACCAAAGCAUUGGCUUAUUUGAGAUUUUUAUUUGGCGAUAACUUGAAUGAUUGGAACGAAAAAGUGAUUAAAUUUAUUGUCAGGUUUUUCAUUAACUAAUUAUUUAUCAUGUUAUGAAUAAAAGUUCGAUCACUGAAUACGUAAGCCAUCGUUUUAAUGUCUAUAGCAUUAAACGCUGAGAAAAUUUUCAUCAGCGAAUUCGACAAUUAUUUUUUUCGAAUUAAAGGAAGUAAGCGAAUAGAUGAUUGCCGGAUUGUAUUCUCGAAUGCUUGAAGGAAGUAUGAAUUAGAGUCAGCUGAAGGUUCAAUUUAACGUGUAUGAUUUGUCCAGUCGUUAGGAACAAAAUAAAAAUUAGUUUUAUUAAUUACAUUUGAACCAUUUUAACAUUUAAUAAAAUAAAAGUUGUUAUCAACCAGAAGCUUAAAAUUGCAUUUCUUCAAUAUCUAUCGACUUAAAGUGAAGAAAAUGAUACGAGUCUCUUUUCAAAUGAUUUGCCUCUCGGCCCUUUUUGCUAUUUAAGAUUUUUCAGGUGGUUGUCAUUUCCUUGGGAGUUAGACUAAAGAAAAAUGAAUUUAUGAUAGGGAUCAAUAUUGACCAGAUCUGGUGUUUUUUGAAAAGGUCAUUAGAUUUUAUAAUAAUCCUGGUGGACCCUUUUCGUUUGGAUACUCUGUGUAUAUAUUUAGGUUACAUAGGGUGACCGAUAUCUUUCCAUUUUUAUCAUUUUGUUUUUCUUCUUGUUUUUGUGUCCUUAUGUAUGAUUUUUUUCUGUUAUUAAAAGUAUUUUAUUUUAAUGAUUAGUAAAUACAAUAUAUAUUGUAUAACGCUUCGAUAGAAUUAUUAAAAUGAGAUAAAUUUAAUCAUCCUGGAUGUUUAUGAUUUGUAAUAGUUUUCUUGUGCAAUUCGUUUUCACACCAAUUUUUGAGAGAAAGGAAAAGGAUGCGUAAGUUAACAAUAUUAUUAUAAUAGUAAGUAGACAAGAAUUCAUUAUUGCAUAAUUCUGUUGAAUUACAACGUGUAAUAUGUCAAAUCGAUAUAAAUAACUGAUGUAAGAAAAAUAAUUCGAAAUGAUUCUUACAGAAGCAUUUUAUUAAUUUAUCAGUUUUCUUCUUAACGAUCUCUUUAGUUGGUGUUAGAAGGAAUGAGUAAAUAAAAAAUGAGAUUUCUUUUUUAUGGAUAGGUAAUAACAUGAUUAUCGUUUUAUUUUGAAUAGUAAAAUGUAAAUAUUUACAAUAAUAAAUGACAAAGAUUUCUAUGGACAGAUA